rnacentral:lncRNA from 10 species
CUCAGACCAUGGAGAAUGCAUGAUCAAGUUUCCUGGGAUAGAGGCCCGUGGUCAUCAACUUUAAGAACUCUUUCUCAUCCAUUAGUAACUCAAUCUAGGUUCAGAUGCUACUCGUUUUCUGCUCAGUCUGUGUCUGAGCCCCUUAUGCUCUUCAUUUUGUCAUCCAAUUAACCUCAGCUUUGCAUCAAUACUAUUUCUUGCUUUGGUGCCUGUUACCUCUCCUCUAAUCACCAAUCCACAACUUACCUCCAAAUUCAGGGCUUGUCUCAUUCUUCCCAGGAGGAGUGCUGCUCAGUCUAUCUACUUAGUAUUAUAAUUUCUCUGGCUUGGUAUCAAGGCACUCCCAUUUCCGGCUUCCAUGAGAUGUCUCAGAGGGCAUGCUGCCCGGUGUAGCUG